rnacentral:rRNA from 1 species
AUUGAACGCUGGCGGCAUGCCUUACACAUGCAAGUCGAACGGCAGCACGGGAGCAAUCCUGGUGGCGAGUGGCGAACGGGUGAGUAAUAUAUUGGAACGUGCCCAGUCGUGGGGGAUAACGCAGCGAAAGCUGUGCUAAUACCGCAUACGAUCUACGGAUGAAAGCGGGGGAUCGCAAGACCUCGCGCGAUUGGAGCGGCCGAUAUCAGAUUAGCUAGUUGGUGGGGUAAAGGCCCACCAAGGCGACGAUCUGUAGCUGGUCUGAGAGGACGACCAGCCACACUGGAACUGAGACACGGUCCAGACUCCUACGGGAGGCAGCAGUGGGGAAUUUUGGACAAUGGGCGCAAGCCUGAUCCAGCAAUGCCGCGUGCAGGAUGAAGGCCUUCGGGUUGUAAACUGCUUUUGUACGGAACGAAACGGCUCCUUCUACUACAAGGGGCUAAUGACGGUACCGUAAGAAUAAGCACCGGCUAACUACGUGCCAGCCGCCGCCGUAACAC